GAUGAACGCUAGCGGCAGGCCUAACACAUGCCAGUCGAGGGAGAAGCCUUUCGGGGCAGAAACCGGCGCACGGGUGCGUAACGCGUAUGCAACCUACCUUUCACAGGGGGAUAGCCCGAAGAAAUUUGGAUUAAUACCCCAUAAUAUUGUUGGAUGGCAUCAUCUGAUAAUUAAAACUGCGGUGGUGAAAGAUGGGCAUGCGUCCUAUUAGCUAGUUGGAGUGGUAACGGCACCCCAAGGCUACGAUAGGUAGGGGUCCUGAGAGGGAGAUCCCCCACACUGGUACUGAGACAGGGACCAGACUCCUACGGGAGGCAGCAGUGAGGAAUAUUGGUCAAUGGUCGGAAGACUGAACCAGCCAUGCCGCGUGCAGGAAGAAUGCCUUAUGGGUUGUAAACUGCUUUUAUAUGGGAAGAAUAAGGUGUACGUGUACAUUGAUGACGGUACCAUAUGAAUAAGCAUCGGCUAACUCCGUG
rnacentral:rRNA from 1 species